rnacentral:tRNA from 1 species
CCAAAGAUAGUUUAUCAUCAAACAUAAAAUUGCAAAUUUUAAAAUGAACAUUUCUCUUUGGUC